CCAUGUGACACUGUGGUGCCUCAUAGAAUCAAGGAGACCACUGUGAAACUCGGAGGUGCCAAGGAACCAAGGGUCCAUGGUGACCUUGUGGAUCCUGUAGUGUCACAGAGGAGCCAUUGUGACAUAGCGAAGGCGCAUUGAGCCAAGGAGCCAUGGUGACACAUCAGGGCUUUGUGGAACCACAAAGCCAUUGUGAUAUUGCAAGGCCUCAUGGAAGCACAGGGCCAUUGUGACACUGCAGAAGCAAGGGGAACAUUGUGACACUCCAGGGCCUCAUGGAACCAAGGAGACCAUUGGGACACUGUGGGGUCCCACGAAACCAAGGGAACAGGGAACAGACACCUGGCCAAGAGGGAGGCACUGAGUGGAUUUAUGACAUCCCCUGUGAUGGACUGGCCUCUGGAAAGGUGGAAGGAUGGAACGGGCUGGUGAAAAUGACAGCGAGCAAUGGGUGGUGGGACAAUAAUAUUCUGCUCCAACUGAUGUUAUUCUUGCAUUGAGAACAAAAUUAAAUUAAGUCAUGUAAA